GGGGCUGUAGCUCAGUUGGGAGAGCACCUGCUUUGCAAGCAGGGGGUCAGGAGUUCGAUCCUCCUCAGCUCCACCA
rnacentral:tRNA from 1 species